CUCUCGGCUGGCGCCCGGCGGGGCUCCGGGGCUCCGGGGCUCCGGGGCUCCUCUCCCGCCGCCCGGCUCCCCUCGGCCCACGGCAGGGCCCCGGUGUCCUGGGCUGGCAGCGAAGCUCGGAGCUCUGGGCGUGCGGCGGCUGCGGUGGCUCCUGGGCUCCUCCGUCCAACCCGGGCCGCGGAGCCUCUACGCGCACCCCAUCCCCCUCCCGGCUGCGGAGUCUGGCGGCGGCGGGGACUGCUCGGGACCCGGACCCCCGGCGCCUUUCGUCCCCUGUCCCCAUUGUGACCUGUCUCUUGGCCCCGGAGCCCUCCCGCCCCACCCGCGCCGGGGUCUCCAGCGCGAAGGGCUCAGUCUCUGGUGUCCCCGGCCUGGGGCUGGCAAGCUGGGUUAGGAGCUAUGACCUUGGGGCAAAUAGGGAUACGAUCCUAGAGGCGCAGGGGAGCGCGCAGCAUGAGUGCUGAGAGGCACGCGCCCUCUGCUGCACGGCCGUGGAAUAAAACGAGACAACGGCCCCACAGUCCCCUGCCCGCAGCCCACGCUCGGGCGAGCCUGGAGGAUUGCAUUUCCUCGUAGGCUGGCAGAGCCUUACAUGAAGCGCUCAUCUUCUCCUACUUUCCUCCUCUUUAAAAAAUUAACGUGGGAAACAUUUUCCUGGGCAUCUAAAAGUAUUGUGGACCUGAGACACUGUGCUUACAGGGCCUACUGGGUUGAUUCUAAAGAAGAAAGAAAAUCUAUAUGCAUGAAAAGAUGUCUUAAAAAGUUUUGAACUACUCAAAGUUAAGAUUUGGGGAAAUAGAAAUAGUAUAUAACUUAAGAAAAUUGCCACUGGCUGUGAACCCCCAUGGCAUUUUCUUUGCACUUUUUUGCUUCUCGUUAGAUUGUAUGUGUUUUUACCAUUUCACACAAACUUUUAAAGAUUAUUCCACGCCGUUAGCUCUGUGCUUCUAUUAGUGUCUCUAUCUCUCUUUCUCUCUCUCUUCCAUCUGAGUACAAUGGCUAGAAAAUAAUACACACUUGAAUGAAUAAAUGUCAUUUAAAUAUUUUAAUAAACAGAAGGAAUAGUACAAU
rnacentral:lncRNA from 10 species